rnacentral:rRNA from 1 species
CCUACGGGGGGCAGCAGUCGAGAAUCAUUCACAAUGGGGGAAACCCUGAUGGUGCGACGCCGCGUGGGGGAAUGAAGGUCUUCGGAUUGUAAACCCCUGUCAUGUGGGAGCAAAUUAAAAAGAUAGUACCACAAGAGGAAGAGACGGCUAACUCGGUGCCAGCAGCCGCGGUAAUACAGAGGUCUCAAGCGUUGUUCGGAGUCACUGGGCGUAAAGCGUGCGUAGGCUGUUUCGUAAGUCGUGUGUGAAAGGCGCGGGCUCAACCCGCGGACGGCACAUGAUACUGCGAGACUAGAGUAAGGGAGGGGGAACCGGAAGUCUCGGUGUAGCAGUGAAAUGCGUAGAUAUCGAGAGGAACACUCGUGGCGAAGGCGGGUUCCUGGACAUUAACUGACGCUGAGGCACGAAGGCCAGGGGAGCGAAAGGGAUUAGAUACCCCUGUAGUC